GACGAACGCUGGCGGCGUGCCUAAUACAUGCAAGUCGAGCGAGACUCUUCGGAGUCUAGCGGCGGACGGGUGAGUAACACGUGGGCAACCUGCCUGUAAGACUGGGAUAACACCGGGAAACCGGUGCUAAUACCGGAUAAUCCUUUUCCUCUCAUGAGGAAAAACUGAAAGUCGGUUUCGGCUGACACUUACAGAUGGGCCCGCGGCGCAUUAGCUAGUUGGUGAGGUAACGGCUCACCAAGGCGACGAUGCGUAGCCGACCUGAGAGGGUGAUCGGCCACACUGGGACUGAGACACGGCCCAGACUCCUACGGGAGGCAGCAGUAGGGAAUCUUCCACAAUGGACGAAAGUCUGAUGGAGCAACGCCGCGUGAGCGAUGAAGGCCUUCGGGUCGUAAAGCUCUGUUGUUAGGGAAGAACAAGUACCGGAGUAACUGCCGGUACCUUGACGGUACCUAACCAGAAAACCACGGCUAACUACGUGCCAGCCGCCGCAGUAA
rnacentral:rRNA from 1 species